AUUGAACGCUGGCGGAAUGCUUUACACAUGCAAGUCGAGCGGCAGCGCGGUCUUCGGACUGGCGGCGAGCGGCGAACGGGUGAGUAAUACAUCGGAACAUGCCCAGUCGUGGGGAUAACACUUCGAAAGAAGUGCUAAUACCGCAUACGUCCUGAGGGAGAAAGCGGGGGAUCGCAAGACCUCGCGCGAUUGGAGUGGCCGAUGUCAGAUUAGCUAGUUGGUGGGGUAAAGGCCUACCAAGGCAACGAUCUGGAGCUGGUUUGAGAGGAUGAUCAGCCACACUGGGAGUGAGACCCGGCGCAGACUCCUACGGGAGGCAGAAGUGGGGAAUUUUGGGCAAUGGGCGCAAGCCUGAUCCAGCCAUGCCGCGUGCAGGAAGAAGGCCUUCGGGUUGUAAACUGCUUUUGUCCGGAAAGAAAAGCAUUCGGCUAAUAACCGGGUGUUAUGACGGUACCGGAAGAAUAAGCACCGGCUAACUUCGUGCCAGCCGCCGCCGUAAAAC
rnacentral:rRNA from 1 species